AACGUACGCUGGCGGCACGCCUAACACAUGCAAGUCGAACGAAGUAGCAAUACUUAGUGGCAGACGGGUGAGUAACAUGUAGGUAUCUGCCCUUUGGCCUGGAAUAACACGAGGAAACUUGUGCUAAUACCGGAUAAGUCUUUACGGAGAAAGCUUUAUGCACCAUUGGAUGAGCCUGCACUUGAUUAGUUUGUUGGUGGGGUAAUGGCCUACCAAGACUGUGAUCAAUAGCUGAUUUGAGAGGAUGAUCAGCCACAUUGGGACUGAGACACGGCCCAAACUCCUACGGGAGGCAGCAGUGGGGAAUCUUGCACAAUGGAGGAAACUCUGAUGCAGCGAUGCCGCGUGAGUGAAGAAGGCCCUUGGGUUGUAAAGCUCUUUCGUCGGGGAAGAAAAUGACUGUACCCGAAUAAGAAGGUCCGGCUAACUUCGUGCCAGCAGCCGCGGUAAUACGAAGGGACCUAGCGUAGUUCGGAAUUACUGGGCUUAAAGAGUUCGUAGGUGGUUGAAAAAGUUAGUGGUGAAAUCCCAGAGCUUAACUCUGGAACUGCCAUUAAAACUUUUCAGCUAGAGUAUGAUAGAGGAAAGCAGAAUUUCUAGUGUAGAGGUGAAAUUCGUAGAUAUUAGAAAGAAUACCAAUUGCGAAGGCAGCUUUCUGGAUCAUUACUGACACUGAGGAACGAAAGCAUGGGUAGCGAAGAGGAUUAGAUACCCUCGUAGUCCAUGCCGUAAACGAUGUGUGUUAGACGUUGGAAAUUUAUUUUCAGUGUCGCAGGGAAACCGAUAAACACACCGCCUGGGGAGUACGACCGCAAGGUUAAAACUCAAAUGAAUUGACGGGGACCCGCACAAGUAGUGGAGCAUGUGGUUUAAUUCGAAGAUACGCGCAGAACCUUACCAACACUUGACAUGUUCGUCGCGACUCUAAGAGAUUAGAGUUUUCGGUCCGGCCGGACGAAACACAGGUGCUGCAUGGCUGUCGUCAGCUCGUGUCGUGAGAUGUUGGGUUAAGUCCCGCAACGAGCGCAACCCUCACUUUUAGUUGCCAUCAUUAAGUUGGGCACUCUGAAAGAACUGCCAGUGAUAAGCUGGAGGAAGGUGGGGAUGACGUCAAGUCCUCAUGGCCCUUACGUGUUGGGCUACACACGUGCUACAAUGGUAUCUACAACAGGAAGCAAGACUGCGAAGUUAAGCAAAUCCCUAAAAGAUACCUCAGUUCGGAUUGCACUCUGCAAACUCGAGUGCAUAAAGCUGGAAUUACUAGUAAUCGUGGAUCAGCGUGCCACGGUAAAUGCGUUCCCGGGUCU
rnacentral:rRNA from 1 species